rnacentral:rRNA from 1 species
UUGAACGCUGGCGGCAUGCCUAACACAUGCAAGUCGAACGGCAGCGCGGGGGCAACCCUGGCGGCGAGUGGCGGACGGGUGAGGAAUGCAUCGGAAUCUGCCCUGUUGUGGGGGAUAACCAACCGAAAGGUUGGCUAAUACCGCAUGAGACGGCGACGUGAAAGCGGGGGAUCUUUGGACCUCGCGCGACAGGAUGAGCCGAUGCCGGAUUAGCUAGUUGGUGGGGUAAAGGCCCACCAAGGCGACGAUCCGUAGCUGGUCUGAGAGGAUGAUCAGCCACACUGGAACUGAGACACGGUCCAGACUCCUACGGGAGGCAGCAGUGGGGAAUAUUGGACAAUGGGCGCAAGCCUGAUCCAGCAAUGCCGCGUGUGUGAAGAAGGCCUUCGGGUUGUAAAGCACUUUUGUCCGGAACGAAAAGCGAUGGGUUAAUACCCUGUCGUGCUGACGGUACCGGGUGAAUAAGCACCGGCUAACUUCGU